GACAUUCAAAUAUAACAUGGUUUACCGUUUCCACCUGAGCACCACAUCGGGUGCAAACUUGGUCACAAUUUAUACCCCAAUUUUUCAAAUUAAAAUUAAAGUUUAUAGAAAAGAAAAUCACACGCGUCUGCGUGUUGGAAAACGCAUGAUUUACGUUUCCACCUAAACUAGUAAAAUUUAUUAUGAAAACAGUAAGUAUAUAUGGGUGAUUAUUUCCAUUGUAUUUUUUUCUUUUUUUUACAUAUACAAUUAUUAGCGGUUGUAAAAGUAAAAGAAGAAUUCUUUAUGUAAACAAUGUUCCACAAAACUGACUUGUUUGAG
rnacentral:lncRNA from 1 species